AACGUAGGUACCGAGCGUUAUCCGGAUUUACUGGGCGUAAAGCGUGUUCAGGCGGUCUGUCAAGUCGGGCAUGAAAGCUCCCGGCUCAACCGGGCGAGGUUGUCCGAUACUGGCAGACUUGAGGGCAGUAGAGGGUGGUGGAAUUCCGGGUGUAGUGGUGAAAUGCGUAGAUAUCCGGAGGAACACCAGUGGCGAAAGCGGCCACCUGGACUGCACCUGACGCUCAAACACGAAAGCUAGGGGAGCGAACGGGAUUAGAAACCCUGUAGUCC
rnacentral:rRNA from 1 species